rnacentral:rRNA from 1 species
AAAGAAAGCGUAAUAGCUCACUGGUCGAGUCGGCCUGCGCGGAAGAUGUAACGGGGCUAAACCAUGCACCGAAGCUGCGGCAGCGACGCUGAUGCGUUGUUGGGUAGGGGAGCGUUCUGUAAGCCUGCGAAGGUGUGCUGUGAGGCAUGCUGGAGGUAUCAGAAGUGCGAAUGCUGACAUAAGUAACGAUAAAGCGGGUGAAAAGCCCGCUCGCCGGAAGACCAAGGGUUCCUGUCCAACGUUAAUCGGGGCAGGGUGAGUCGACCCCUAAGGCGAGGCCGAAAGGCGUAGUCGAUGGGAAACAGGUUAAUAUUCCUGUACUUGGUGUUACUGCGAAGGGGGGACGGAGAAGGCUAUGUUGGCCGGGCGACGGUUGUCCCGGUUUAAGCGUGUAGGCUGGUUUUCCAGGCAAAUCCGGAAAAUCAAGGCUGAGGCGUGAUGACGAGGCACUACGGUGCUGAAGCAACAAAUGCCCUGCUUCCAGGAAAAGCCUCUAAGCAUCAGGUAACAUCAAAUCGUACCCCAAACCGACACAGGUGGUCAGGUAGAGA